GAAAUUCUGAUGGAGGAUGGUGGAAGGUGAGGAUCAUGAAGACGAUCAAGAUCUCAUUUUCUGAUGUGUUUUAAUAAUAUACAUAUAUUGUGUACUGAUAUUGUGUGUGCCAUAAUUUGUGAAGCAAUUAAAAUAGACAUCUGACUAAACAAUGCAAGGCUAGCUCAACCAAUUAAAAAAAUAAUACCUGUGAAUUGGUGUAUUUUGUCAGAAUUUAAUAUUUUCUGUGACUUUUGUCAAUCCCAUAACUUGAUAAUUUGACUGGUCAACAUCUUAAAGGGGUCAUAUUAUGCGAUUUAAAUUUUUCCUUUCUCUUUGGAGUGUUACAAUCUCUUGGUGCAUAAAGAAGAUCUGUAAAGUUGCAAAGACUAAAGUCUCAAAUCCAAAGAGAUAUUCUUUAUAAAAGUUCAAGAGUCAACUACGCCUACCUAAAACGGCUCGUUCUAACACGCCCCCACAUGUCUACGUCACGAUGUGGGAAGAUUUGCAUAACACCGCCCAAAUGUUCACGCAAAGAAAGAAGGCGUAACUUUUAUUCUCGCUGUAGUAUUGUUGUUGCCGCCACCGCCAUGUCGUGAAGGCGCUGUGUGAUUAGUUGUGAAAGCGAAACUACUUUGUUUGGCCUUCCAAAAGUGGACGAUAUCCGCUUCGUCAUGCCUGGAGCUGAUCCGUGCUGGUCGCUGAGGAAAUACAUCAACUUCGCUGUGGAUCGCUGGAUCGGCUUUCACCGUGACGAAGCCGUUCUCAGGCCCGCCCGCCUCCCUGGCCCCGGCGUUCUCAAGCCCGCCGCCGCUCACUCUAGCCCGCCGUGUGUUUCGUUGUGAAAGUGAAACUAUUUUAUAAUGGGUUUUAAUGUUUUUGCCUCGUCACUCCGGCCGGACAGGGCAUCACAAUAUGGUAUUAAUAAACUUUAAAAUUAAGCACUCACAAUCAGAGCUAAACAUGCUGUUUUGUUUUUCUUCUUUUCUCCCUCCACUAGACUGACCAUGUAUGCAGUUGUUACUCUGCAAGAUUCAGAUGAGGUGAUGGUGGUAGCAUCAAACUGGCUGAGCCUCGACAAGAAACAAUGUUACUGGCCCCCAUUCAGAUCACCAGACAAGUGCAUGGAAGCUGUUCAGAACAGAAUUAAAGCUGAAACAGGAGGGAAACCAUGGGAGAAAUUAAAUAUUAGCUUUCACAGAGACUAUGUCACUUUUGAGAAGGCAAAAGAGGAGCAACAAGAAAUUAAAGAACGGAAAGAACGGCCAUAUCUAUUAGCCACUGGAUUCCCUGGAAUGCUAAAAAGACAAAGACUUGAAUGCCCUCAAGAAAUGUUAAAACAACAACUUCCUCCUGCACCAUCUGCAUCUACAUCCAGAAUGUCAGCUGAUGACAAGGAUGAGCUCCUCCAAACGCUGAGAGACAUCAAGAGCACAGUUCAGCAAAACUCUGCUAUGUUAAAGAAACUACUAAAAGACAAUGCGGUUUCUGAGGUCCCCAGCAGUACCAGCAUUCCUCAUAAAGACGUUAAAACAAACCUAAAACUGCCUCUUAGAACCAUUAAAGAUGUGGCCAGGACUGAAAGACAGCUCACAAAGAAUGCAACAACACGCCAAAAAUAUGUAAGAUAUCUGUCAAGACUUGGAGGUUUUGGGCAAAAGGAUGUGAUUAAGAAUAUUAUGCAGCAUGUCCUAACAGAUGAUCUGGCCACAAAGUUUAACUGGCAGGGGAGAGGAAAUAAAAAGCCCUUCUCUAAGCUUAUUUUAACAGAUGUGAUCAGAGAGGCUGCAUCAAAACAAAGUGUAACGAGGAUAGACUGUGAAGCUGAAAUAAAAAAUUAUUUGUGGUCCAUAGCUGAUCGAAUCAGUCGGAAUAGACCAAGAGAUUGUGGAGGUAAGUGAUAAAUAUUAUGUAAUAUUGUCUCACUUUCUAUAGGCAGAUUUUCUCCAUGAUGGUUUAUUCAAAGCAUACUCCUAUGUUAAGGAACAUUCAUUCAUUUGUUUAAUGAUCAUUGUAUACUUUGUAUAAAUACCUCCUUCCCCCUUCAGGUGUGACUUCAGAUGUGACUUCUCCCACGCUGCUGGACAGUGGCUUCCAGUCAGUGUCUGGAAUGUCUUUUGACUGAGUUUUGGAACAUUUAUUCAUAGGUCGUGUAAGCUUAACUGCCUACACAUUAGACAUUCAUUUUGUAAAGCACAAUAUGUGUACUAAUCUAGCUUGCCACUGUGUACUUCAAAUAUUGGCUCUUGAGAUAAAAUGCUUAUAAUACUCAUAAUUUUGAAUCAGUGUAAAUAUAAAUAUAUAUGGUUAGGGUUAGGCAAGGGUUUUUAUAUUGUGGUAAUAUAAGAUAAGAUCCAUCAGCCUUUAGCUGACUGGAGGAAAUAAUGAAAAACUGGAGAAUGUGUUUCACUGUGGUAUCACUGCAUGCUAGGUUUUCAGGUGUAUUAUAGUAGUGGCUUUAUUUCUCUGUUCCAAUAAUGUUCCUUCCUUUCCUCAAUAACAAAUAACUCAAAUGCAAUUAGUUGUGGCGUUUAAUCCAAAUAGGCCAUUUCUUUACUUUUCAAUGUUACAUAGAUGAGAUGUAAUGAUUUCAUUUAAAAUAAACCAUAACCGCACAUAACAUUUAUCUUGCUUUUGCCUUUUUUCUU
rnacentral:lncRNA from 1 species